rnacentral:rRNA from 1 species
ACUCAAAUGAAUUGACGGGGGCCCGCACAAGCGGUGGAGCAUGUGGUUUAAUUCGAUGCAACGCGAAGAACCUUACCUACUCUUGACAUCCAGAGAACUUUCCAGAGAUGGAUUGGUGCCUUCGGGAACUCUGAGACAGGUGCUGCAUGGCUGUCGUCAGCUCGUGUUGUGAAAUGUUGGGUUAAGUCCCGCAACGAGCGCAACCCUUAUCCUUGUUUGCCAGCGAGUAAUGUCGGGAACUCCAGGGAGACUGCCGGUGAUAAACCGGAGGAAGGUGGGGACGACGUCAAGUCAUCAUGGCCCUUACGAGUAGGGCUACACACGUGCUACAAUGGCGCAUACAGAGGGCAGCCAACUUGCGAAAGUGAGCGAAUCCCAAAAAGUGCGUCGUAGUCCGGAUUGGAGUCUGCAACUCGACUCCAUGAAGUCGGAAUCGCUAGUAAUCGUGGAUCAGAAUGCCACGGUGAAUACGUUCCCGGGCCUUGUACACACCGCCCGUCACACCAUGGGAGUGGGCUGCAAAAGAAGUAGGUAGUUUAACCUUCGGGGGGACGCUUACCACUUUGUGGUUCAUGACUGGGGUGAAGUCGUAACAAGGUAGCGCUAGGGGAACCUGGCGCUGGAUCACCUCCUUA